CCUUCCUGCAGUCUUCAAAAGCUUCAAAGCAGAAAACUGACUUUUGAAAAAAAUGCUCUAUUCCCUAAGCCUCCUCCUAGGGUGCAAUGAGAUGGGCAAAGAUACAAGUGCACUUAUUGUAUCUGAUACCCAUAGUCCUACUGAUAUAAUCCCUAAGUGUGCUAAGUUUUCUCUUGUAUAACUUUUAAAGGACAUAGAAAACAACUAUUCCUGCUUUACUCUCAUGAUGAUGCAAUGCAGAGAAUUGAAGUAGCCCCCCAAAGAAAUCUAGAAUAACAGGCCUUAAUUACACAACCACCAAUAGCACACAAGAAAUAUGGAAUUAGCUAUUGUCAUGGUGAGGGACAAAAGAAAUGAGACUCUGCCCUUUUAUCGCUCUGUGGUCUGGAUAUGGAAUGGUUGUCUGACAUUUCCUUAGCAGGAGAACUUGGUACAGUAUCUGCGGUGCCAUACUGGCCUUUACUGUGAUAUAUGCCAUGGUUAUAUUUAAUGGCAACUACAGAGGGAGAGUGCUUAUUCCUAGACACAACAUAACACAAAAACAUUCAUUAUAGUUAAAUAUAUAGUUAUGUUACAUAUAUUUAUAUUAUAGUAAUAUAAUAGAUAGAUUGGUAACUUUUUUCCAUCACAAUUCAAUUGUGGGUCAAAAUUCAACUGCCUGAUCUACAAUUAAUCCCUGACCUUGAAUUCACAGCAUAUGCUGCAUUUUGGUAAUUACAGAACAUUGUUUGUGGUGAAACCUCCAACUGGAAUAUUAACCUCCUUGAAGAAUUCACUCCAGUAUCCUCCUCGCACCAAUACUGAAAGGUGAUUCACCCACUGGUCAAUCAAAAGGGCAAAAGGAGGAGACUGCCAUGCUCACCACAUGCUGUAGCUCUGGUCUGUCUUCCAAUUCUUCCACUACCUUUUUAAUCUAGAUAAAAAAGAAAAGUUUCAAGGUGGAGUCAUGAGGACAGAAAGACAGCUACAAAAUUAUCUGAUAAACUCUCUUCUUCACAGCUAUAGGAGUCCCAGACGUUCAUCUGGUAACACAUAUAAAAACAAAUGACACUCACUGAAAUUUUAUCUUCAUUGUCCAAAAGCAUGUCAACAGCUUUCUGAAACAUAUAAGAAAAGCCACAGUCAAUGAAAUCCGUUAUUUAAGAAGAGAAGACUAAACACAAUGCAGUGUACCUACCACAGUUCACAGGUGGAAGGCUUAUUUUGUAUACUUAAGGAGGCCCUUGGCUUUACAAUGGCUCUUAUGGAAAAUGACAUUUGUGAAGAACUGCAUUUUCAAAUGCAUCUCAAUCUGAAGCCUAUGUGUUUUGCACACUACUAAAAUGGUGCUUUGCUAUAACUUCCCAAAUACAAAACAUCUUGACUGCCCAUAUCCUAGCCCCCCGCCCUCCGAUGUCUCGGAUACCUUCACACCUUCUCAUGAGACUCUCAGUAGUUAUGGAGAGCAUCUCUUUACCAGUAUAUCAAGAAAAUGAGCUUUUCUUCCAGCUACUUCAACCUCGACCUAGUCUCCCUAUGAGACUCCACAGACAGAAGGAGCUGGUUUUAUGAGGAGAAGGGAAUAAGAGUCAGAAAGAGAAUGAGAUACCUGAAGUUUCAUAAUGACAUAAAGCUUUUGGACUUUCAGAAUUUACUUUAGCCACUUUUAUCAUUCAGGAAACACAAACUAGACAGUUUAUGUCAAGAGGAAGAGGGAAAGCAGCACACCAGACUGAGCCUCACACGGAACACCUGGGGGCCCUGUUCUAGACUCUGCUACGACCUAGCUGUCUGCUCCAAAUGUUACUUUUGUUCUCUGAAAUACGAGGGUGUUGGAGUAGAUUAUCCCUAAGGUCUCUUCUAACCAGAAGACUCUGAUUCCUUACAUCUGGAUCACAUUCUAGAAUAGCAAUUAGUUUCAGCUCAUUCAUCUUUUUUCCACAGGAACAUAUGCAAAACGAGCUCUGGAGAACAAUGGAAGGGGGUGCAUGAGGGGAGACUAGAUAUGAGGAAAAUGUAAUUAAUUUUUACAUAAGCAUCUCAUCCUCUGCCAGACAAGCAGAGCCUCUCUACCUGAACUUCCUUGGAGCUACGUAAUUCUUCGUAAAUCUGUAGUCCCUAAAGACUUGACUCAGUAUUUUAAAAAGGGCUAAAGCAUCUUUGAGAAAAAGACGUAGCUCUAGCUCCUAUCUAAAUUAAGUUUAAGUUGGUGGAGAUUAAUAUAGCACACAAUAUCUCUAAAUACAGUACAAUAUAAUUGAAAAAUGCAUUAAUCCUUUUGGAGCCUUUAGGGUUCUACUUUUAGGUUUAUCUAAAAUUUCAAUUUUUUGAAUAAGAACACUGUUUUAUAAACCUCAUUAUUUCUGUCAUGAGCACUUGUAAUUAGAUUUCUUUUACACACACACACACACACACACACACACACACACACAGCUUGCAUCACUUUGCAAGCACCAAUGUGAGCUGUGGCUGGGUCCACUCAUUAGGGGGCGUAAAUUUAUUAUUAGGUUAUUCAAAUUUGUCACACAAUAAAAUAACAUUCCACAUGUCCUGGACAUGAGCAUCACCUCAAACCAGGGGAAACCCCACAUGCUGGAUACGUGAACACCAAGAAAUAAAAUAGUAAUAAGUCGGUCAAGAUGGAAGUUCACUUAAUUUUAAAAUUCUGGAAAACAGGUUAGGAGGGAUAAAUGAGUCAAAGUAUAUACGUGGUUUGUUUCUAUAAAUUAUAUGAAUUGUUUUAGCAAGAAAUUACUUUAUAUGCGCACACACACAACUUUAAAAGUUCUCUAUCAACUUUGAAUUGCUUUCACAGAAUAACUACAUUAUGAAAAGGAUUCCUGAAUGCCAAACAACUAGAAUAACAACAUCUAGCGAGGGUCAGAGUGUUCUAAAGAUUGUCGGCAUAAAGCCAAGUUAUGUGAUUCAUUCACCAAUCCAGCAUUUGGAUAGAUAUCUAAGUAUUAAAUAUUUGGAAUAGUAAAAAUAAUUGACAGUACUAAAAUAAAAAGCACAUUACCUCUGAAUCAAAAUCCAUUAAUAAAACAAUUUUAUCCUUGAUAGAACUGAAAAGAUUAUGCUUGUGGAUCAACUGAAAAACGUCUUUAUGUCUUAAUGUUAAGUAUAUUUCCAGAGCAUUGCCAUAGUUCUUGUCAUAGGUGUACCUGGUAAUACAAAUUUUUUACAUUAAUAUUCAUCAACAGUUCUAAUUAAAACACACACAGAGAGAUCAUGGUUCACAAUAUUAAAAAUGGAAACACUCCUUUAGAGAGAAAAGUUAACUUUAUUUCAAAAAAUAUUCCUAUUUUUGAAUAGGAUUUAACUAUACACGACCAAUAAGUAUUUCUUUCUCAGAACUUUGCCUCUCAUGUUGCCAAAAUUUAAGAAAAUUCACAAUAUUCAAGUAAUAAAAAUGGUCUUUAUUGGGGGUCUCAGUCUCAAAAGUUUUACAAACAUCCAUACAGCAAAGAAACUAGGAUCCAGGAUGAAGUUCUCAUUUUAGUAACAGAAACAUCCGUUCCAAUUCUUACAAGCAGUAUUCAGCUGACAAAUGGCUAAUAUUCCAAAAGCUGAUUUUAAGGGGGCUGUGUCUAACUGAAAUGUGUUUUUCCAUUGAAACAAUGUUUUUCACAUUAAGUCCCUAAGUCAGCUCUUGAGAGCUCACUGAACUGAAGCUGUACUGUUGGUCCAUUACGAACGUGCUGCAGACUCUAAGGGGUAUCUAACAGGACAACGUUUCCAAGAGAAAAUGAUUAGCAUUUCAACUUAGAAUGCCAUAAACACAACCUCCUCUUGUGGAAAAUCCAACACGUCCAGAGUUCUAGGUCAUUUUGGUAUACCUUUUUUGGUUUUGGGCAAAAGAAGAAAAAACAAGGGAGAGGAGUGGCCUGAGGUGAUGGGGGCACUGAGGAGAGGUGGAUGCAGGGAUGGUCGUCUUGGCUAGACCUGCAGUAUACUUCUUGUUUCCCUAGAUCGAAGUACUUGAGAGCAUAUCUUAUCUAUCUCUGUAUCAUAAGCGUCUCGCACAAAGCCUGCAUCACUGAAUGUGCCCAAGAAAUAUGAAAAAUAUUAACCAAGCUGCCAUUUUCUGAGCCCUGACUCAGGGUCAGGGAGUCCUCUAUUAUGACAUCUCUUUUAAAGUUUAAAAUUUUCCCAUAAGGAAUUGACAUUUGAGAGAUUAAAUUAACUGACUUGAAGACCCUAGAAGAGCAGAAUCCAGAGCCUUGCUCAUUGGGAAACUGUUAUGCUUGAGUGAUCUAAAACUUGGCACCCUUUUGUUUCCUAACCACUGCCUCUCCCAAGCGCUGUGCGUUAGGGGUUCUCUUCUCUGGGAAACAGAUUACAUUGCAAUUGUACAGUUUCACACAUGUCCUUAUCGCCUACUCAUUUGAGGUUUAUGAGAGGUUUUUACUAAGAAGGAAUGUAGGAAAAUGGUAUAAAAUACAUCUUCUCCACUUGGAGUUUGCCAAAUCUAAAGUAUGAAAAACUUUUCAACACAGACUGAUAUGGAAAAAGAAACACUUAAGUAUACUCACAAUUCUGCCAGGGUUUUAAGUAAAGUCUUGUUCUGACUAUCUUUCUUCAAAUGAUCCCGAACUGCUUGAACUAUGACUGAAUUAUUAUACAGAUCUCCAGGCCAUUCUCGGAUCAAUGUGGCAAAACCCUAACCAAAGGUGAAAAACAGAAAAAGAACACUCAUUCAACAGAAUAAUAGUUGUGAUAUUGUGAAAUAUACAUUUGGUCCUCCUUCUGUUUCCUGGCAUAUAACUCUCAAAAUCCUUAGAAUCUCUAAAAUGAUGUGUCUUCUUGUAUGCUAAUGAGCUGACUGGUGGCUAGCAGCCCCUAGGUAACUUAAGGAUGGGGUUGGGCACAGGAUAGACUGAGACAGGAUUAAAGGGUUGGAACUUUUCAGCCCUACCCCCACCCCUGCCCCACAACCUCCAAGGAGGGGAGAGGGGCUGAAGGUUACACCGAUCACCAAUGGCCCAGUGUUUAAAUCAAUCAUGUCUAAGUAAUGAAGCUUUCAUUAAAACCCAAAAGGAGUGGCUUUGGAGGGCUCCCCAAGAGCUGAACACCUGGAGGUUCCUGGAGGGUGGUGCACCCAAAGAGGACCUGGAAGCUCCAUGCCUCUUCCCACAUACCUUGCCCUCUGCAUCUAAUCCAUUUGGCUGUUCAUCUACAUACAUCCUAAAACAUUCAGGAGAAAACAUCUACAAUCUCUAAGGUUAAGUCAUGCUUCUUUCCAUCUCAAUAAAAAGUGUUCCAGAUAUGAAAUCAACAGGGUAACUUUGACGAUAAAGGAUUUUUAAAAGUUUCAUGAAAAAAUAAGAGUUCAAUCAUGUGCAAUAACUGUAACAGAAUCAUAAAAACAAUAAAUUUUUUUAAAUGCUUAAAUUACAUUACUUUAAAAAUAGGAAAAUUAUAACAUACUUCAGCAUUUGUAAAGGAAGUUUGUACUCUUCUCCAUCAUUUUCACAGAACACUCAUAAUUCUCUUUCUUCUGGGAUGAUAUCAAAGAUGGAAUAGCAGCUGCUAUUGUAUUUAUGAAAUCUACAAAAUAGCACUUAGCUCUUUUUCUUUAGUUCUAGAAAGAAGGUAACUUUAAGGAAUUCCUUAAAAUGCACACGGACUAAGUGUUUUCACUGUCUACAUAAACAUGAGUUAUACUGGAGUUUCUCUAGCUCAGUUUCACCUGCCACAUGCAAACUACAAAUCUGUUUCCUUUACAGGCAUUGCUCCAUUGUAUUCCUUUCUAGAUUUCCUAACACCUCCCAUCGAGAACAAGUAAAUAUGACCACAUCAGAACACCAUACCUCAUAAUCACUCUCCAAAAAUUCAUGUAAGAUCAUUUCAUAGAUGAGUGGUUUCAGAACUGGAUCACCUCUUGGCAAAUAAGGACUAAUAGCCUAGGUAAGGAAAAGGGAAAAAAAAGUCCAUUAAAAUAUGAAAAAACAAAACUGCAUUCCAAUUAUGCAGAAAACAUAAAGUAUAUUUUUACUUUAAAAAUGUGAGGGAAUACAGUACUCUGAAAAAAAUGUUUUGAACAGGAUUUAAAUGAAAACUACUUUCUAACAAUAAAUUAUAAUAUAUUUUCAAAAGUAUAUACAUGUAUGAAUGAAUUUAAAAAUUGCCUAGGUUAAUCUUUAUCUCUCUGUUCUUCCUGAUGAGUUAAUAGAAAUCUAAAUAAUAGGAGGGAGAAAGUCACAGAGAUGAAAAAAGUCGACUUCUUAAGUAAUCGAGGAGUACAGGUAAUCUAUUCAUCUUUCCUUCCUUCAACUGGAGUUUACCAACCUUCACCAACUCAUAAUCAUCUUUUGAAAUUAGGAAAAAUACAUCUUGUGUUCUUCAGAUAUUUUCAGUACUGUGUUAAAAGUCAAAUUUACAAAUACUGUUCAAUGACCCUAUAAUGCCCUACAAUCCAAUCACCACACUUUUUACUGGGGACAGACAGAGAAGGUCACCAUCCCCAAGGAGCUCACAAGUCCUAGAAGAAAGAUAUGCAGACAAUUAAACAGACAAUAACUGUAUUGUGUGGUAAGUGUUAUAACAGAGGGGUCAGCACAGUGCUGCAGCAGCAGAGGAGAACCAUGCCCACUAAAGCCCUGGGUUUCUCAGGAAAAAAUAAGAGAGGGGCAGGACAUCUGGCAGGGGGAAUAGCAUGAGCAAAGGCGUGGAGCCAUGAACAUGCAUCUGUGUGCAGGGAGGUCAGAGGAGCCCAGAGAUGCGAGAUGGCGUCACUGAAGGGAGGUGAGGCUGGAGAGGAAGGGGAGGUGGGGUCUUGAGAGGAAUUCUGAUUUUAUUCUAUAGGCAGGAGGGAAGCAACAGGUAUUAGGGAAGUGAGAGUCCAGACUUAUUUUUUAUGCAGAUAACUCUGGGCUAGGGCUGCCCACAGAUCUAUCAGAAGGCAUUUGCUAUGGCUCAGGCAAAAGUUAAG
rnacentral:lncRNA from 1 species